GUCCACGCGGCAAGGAGGAGCCCCUGCUGAUUUCCGUGCGGGCUCUUGUCAAAAUGGUGAAGCUGUUUAUUGGAAACCUGCCUCAGGAGGCCACAGAACAGGAGAUCCGCUCACUCUUCGAGCAGUAUGGGAAGGUGCUGGAAUGUGACAUCAUUAAGAACUAUGGCUUUGUGCACAUAGAAGACAAAACUGCAGCUGAUGAUGCCAUAUGCAACCUGUACCACUACAAGCUUCAUGGGGUGAACAUCAACGUGGAAGCCAGCAAGAAUAAGAGCAAAACCUCAACAAAGUUGCAUGUGGGCAACAUCAGUCCCACCUGCACCAACAAGGAGCUUCGGGCCAAGUUUGAGGAGUAUGGUCCAGUCAUUGAAUGUGACAUCGUCAAAGAUUAUGCCUUCGUACACAUGGAGCGGGCAGAGGGUGCAGUGGAGGCCAUGAGGGGCCUUGAUAACACAGAGUUUCAAGGUGGGAUGUGUGUAGGCUGAAAUUCAGAGCUGCGGUUGUGCAUGAGAAUACACCCUUCGUGGUACCCCAUCUCCGGGACGUUUUCGGCUCUGUGCAUUCAGUCCCUCAGGAACCAUGGACCUUAAUUUACCUUGCUGAGUUCGGACCUUCUCUUCCUUUCCUUUACUGCCCAUUUUCCUAUUCUUCCUAUCCUUCAGUACUUCUGUAGCCUCCCAUUCAUGUUCUAUUCUCCCAGCAGGCCUCAUUGUGUGCAGAAAUUGUGGU